AGCAGCCGCGGUAAUUCCAGCUCCAAUAGCGUAUAUUAAAGUUGUUGCAGUUAAAAAGCUCGUAGUUGAAUUUCGGGAUUGGCGCAUCGGUCGUGCCUCACGGGGUAUGAACUGGUGCAGUCAAUUUCUCACCUUCUGGAGAACCGCGAUGUCCUUAAUUGGAUGCCGCGGGGAACCAGGACCUUUACUUUGAAAAAUUGAGUGUUUAAAGCAGGCAUUUUUGCUUGAAUACAUUAGCAUGGAAUAAUAAAAUAGG
rnacentral:rRNA from 1 species